rnacentral:tRNA from 1 species
GCGCCCAUAGCUCAACUGGACAGAGCGACGGCCUUCUAAGCCGUAGGUUCCACGUUCGAGUCGUGGUGGGCGCA